AUGUAGACCAUUGACAGCGAACUUCUGCCCUCCAUUUGUGCUCCCUUCGCUCGGACAUGGUGAACGGGUAUUGGUAAUGCGGUCAUUACCGCUACAAAUGAAGGUUCCUACCGAGAUCUGGGAAAGAAGGACCAGCUGACGGACACUCUUGGAAGGCCGGCCGGCAUUUUACAGCCCUUCGCUCGGACAUGGUGAACGGGUAUUGGUAAUGCGGGCAUUACCGCU